rnacentral:rRNA from 1 species
AUACGGAGGGUGCAAGCGUUGUUCGGAAUUACUGGGCGUAAAGCGCGCGUAGGCGGUCUGUUAUGUCAGAUGUGAAAGUCCUCGGCUCAACCGGGGAAGUGCAUUUGAAACUGGCAGACUUGAGUAUUGGAGGGGGUAGUGGAAUUCCCGGUGUAGAGGUGAAAUUCGUAGAUAUCGGGAGGAAUACCGGUGGCGAAGGCGACUACCUGGCCAAAUACUGACGCUGAGGUGCGAAAGCGUGGGGAGCAAACAGGAUUAGAAACCCCAGUAGUCC